rnacentral:lncRNA from 1 species
CGGAUCAAGCGCCUGGUGCGGAGCUCAAUCGGGAGGCCGAACUUCAAGGAGGGGAGACGUGAUCCCGGAUGAAACGCCUAGAGCGGAGUUCCGCCGGGGAGAACCUCCUUGUUGAUCCCAGAUGAAACGGCUAGUUGGCGGAAGUCGCGAAGGGCGCGCCUCCCGUUCCUUCGGUAGGGGUCUCUCAACCAUGCGCCGGAGAGGAGGCCCACGAUCCAUGGCAA